rnacentral:rRNA from 1 species
UACGUAGGGGGCUAGCGUUGUCCGGAUUUAUUGGGCGUAAAGAGCGUGUAGGCGGCCAUGUAGGUCCGGUGUGAAAACUCGAGGCUUAACCUCGAGAUGUCAUCGGAAACCAUUUGGCUAGAGUCCGGAAGAGGAGAGUGGAAUUCCUGGUGUAGCGGUGAAAUGCGCAGAUAUCAGGAGGAACACCGGUGGCGAAGGCGGCCACCUGGACGGAUACUGACGCUGAGACGCGAAAGCGUGGGGAGCAAACAGG